rnacentral:rRNA from 1 species
CUGCAAGUCGAUACGAAGUUCUUGAUUAUUUGAAAGGUGCCUUGCAUCUUGAUUUAAUUUUGAACGAGUGGCGGACGGGUGAGUAACACGUGGGUAACCUGCCCUUAAGUGGGGGAUAACAUUUGGAAACAGAUGCUAAUACCGCAUAAAUCCAAGAACCGCAUGGUUCUUGGCUGAAAGAUGGCGUAAGCUAUCGCUUUUGGAUGGACCCGCGGCGUAUUAGCUAGUUGGUGAGGUAACGGCUCACCAAGGCAAUGAUACGUAGCCGAACUGAGAGGUUGAUCGGCCACAUUGGGACUGAGACACGGCCCAAACUCCUACGGGAGGCAGCAGUAGGGAAUCUUCCACAAUGGACGCAAGUCUGAUGGAGCAACGCCGCGUGAGUGAAGAAGGCUUUCGGGUCGUAAAACUCUGUUGUUGGAGAAGAAUGGUCGGCAGAGUAACUGUUGUCGGCGUGACGGUAUCCAACCAGAAAGCCACGGCUAACUACGUGCCAGCAGCCGCGGUAAUACGUAGGUGGCAAGCGUUAUCCGGAUUUAUUGGGCGUAAAGCGAGCGCAGGCGGUUUUUUAAGUCUGAUGUGAAAGCCCUCGGCUUAACCGAGGAAGUGCAUCGGAAACUGGGAAACUUGAGUGCAGAAGAGGACAGUGGAACUCCAUGUGUAGCGGUGAAAUGCGUAGAUAUAUGGAAGAACACCCAGUGGCGAAAGCGGCUGUCUGGUCUGUUAACUGACCGCUGAGGCUCGAAAGCAUGGGUAGCGAACAGGAUUAGA